rnacentral:rRNA from 1 species
GGCGGCGUGCUUAACACAUGCAAGUCGAACGGUGAAGCAGAGCUUGCUCUGUGGAUCAGUGGCGAACGGGUGAGUAACACGUGAGCAAUCUGCCCCUGACUCUGGGAUAAGCGCUGGAAACGGCGUCUAAUACCGGAUACGAGCUGCGAAGGCAUCUUCAGCAGCUGGAAAGAAUUUCGGUCAGGGAUGAGCUCGCGGCCUAUCAGCUUGUUGGUGAGGUAACGGCUCACCAAGCCGUCGACGGGUAGCCGGCCUGAGAGGGUGACCGGCCACACUGGGACUGAGACACGGCCCAGACUCCUACGGGAGGCAGCAGUGGGGAAUAUUGCACAAUGGGCGAAAGCCUGAUGCAGCAACGCCGCGUGAGGGACGACGGCCUUCGGGUUGUAAACCUCUUUUAGCAGGAAAGAAGCGAAAGUGACGGUACCUGCAGAAAAAGCGCCGGCUAACUACGUGCCAGCAGCCGCGGUAAUACGUAGGGCGCAAGCGUUAUCCGGAAUUAUUGGGCGUAAAGAGCUCGUAGGCGGUCUGUCGCGUCUGCUGUGAAAACCCGAGGCUCAACCUCGGGCCUGCAGUGGGUACGGGCAGACUAGAGUGCGGUAGGGGAGAUUGGAAUUCCUGGUGUAGCGGUGGAAUGCGCAGAUAUCAGGAGGAACACCGAUGGCGAAGGCAGAUCUCUGGGCCGUAACUGACGCUGAGGAGCGAAAGGGUGGGGAGCAAACAGGCUUAGAUACCCUGGUAGUCCACCCCGUAAACGUUGGGAACUAGUUGUGGGGUCCAUUCCACGGAUUCCGUGACGCAGCUAACGCAUUAAGUUCCCCGCCUGGGGAGUACGGCCGCAAGGCUAAAACUCAAAGGAAUUGACGGGGACCCGCACAAGCGGCGGAGCAUGCGGAUUAAUUCGAUGCAACGCGAAGAACCUUACCAAGGCUUGACAUAUACGAGAACGGGCCAGAAAUGGUCAACUCUU